rnacentral:lncRNA from 1 species
AUGUUAUUUUGUAUAAUAAUGAAAAAAAAAAAAAUUUAUAAUGAAAUAAAAAAAAUGAAUAAUAAUAAAUUUAUAUAUAACAAUAAAAAGAAUAAUAUAUUACAAAUAGAUAUGAACAAAAAUAAAUAUAAAAAAAAUAGUUUACAAAAUUUGGAUACAAAUGUAAAAAAUAAAAUAGGUAGUCACAUAAUGCCUUUAGAAAUAACAACUAAUUUUAAACAUGAAAAACAAAAAGCAUUUUCUUAUUCCGUAAACAGUUUAAACAAUUUAAACAGUUUAAAUAAUUUAAACAGUUUAAAUAAUGUAAAUAAUGUAAAUAAUGUAAAUAAUAUAUAUAACGAAAAUAUCAUGAUAAAAACAAACAAAAUAAGUAAUUUAUUUUGUGAGAAUAAAAAAAAUAAAGAUAUAACUUUUGAUUUUGAUAAAGAAAUAAGUAUUUUUAAUAAUAUGAGUUUGGAUAAUCAAGCAUAUCAUACUAUGGUUAAAAGUAGGAAUAAUAACGACAGUAGUAUAAAUAGUAAUAAUAAUAUGAGUAGUGACAAUAGUAGUAGUAGUAUUAAUAGUAACAACAGUAUAAACAACAAGUCAAAAUAUAUAAAUUUUUUAAAAACAUAUGAUUAUACAAGCUAUGAAAACAAAAAAUCUGACAAUACCAACAAACAAUUUAUAAACGACAAAGAUAAAUAUAAUACAACAUUAUUAGAUACUUUUUUUAAAAAUGAAAAAAUACUGAAAAAAAAUAAACUGUUUAAUAAUAUACAAGAAGAUAUAAAAUUUAUGAAUUUACAAGUAGAAAAUAAUAUGAACAGUGUUAAUAAAUAUUUUGGUUAUAUUAAAGAUGGUCAUAAAAUAAAUAAAGAAAUAAACAAUUGUAAAGAUAAUAGAAGUGGGUAUAAAUCGUAUUUGGAAAAAGAUGGUUACCAAGCUAACACAAGUGCUAACAAUAGCGGUUACAACAAUGGUGACACUUAUAACAACAACAUAGUGAGUAACAGAGAUAGUAACAACAGUAGUUGUAGUAGUAUUAGUGGUAGUAAUAAUAAUAAAAAAAAUAUUUUUCACCGUGUAAUUAACAAUAAUUCUGUAAGUAAUACUAUGACUAACUGUGUGCGUAAGUAUGAAAAUCCAUUUAUAAUUUUUAACGAAAAAAAUAAAGAAAGUUGUGCAAAAAAUUCGAGUUCUUCUACAUAUGAUUGUAGCGAUUUUGAUUUAUAUCGUUCAUCAAGUAAAGAUACUGUUACAAAUUUUUUUAACAGCUAAGUUGUAAAAAAAAAAAAAAAAAAAAAAAAAAAAAUAUAUAUAUAUAUAUAUAUAUAUAUAUAUAUAUAUAUAUAUAUAUAUAUCACGACAGUUGCACUUUUAACAGUUACUGUUAACAGUCAACAUAAUAUUGAACGAACUUAAUAAGUGCUAUUUUUAUAAAUCUAUGCUUUUAAUUUUAUGCAAUGACACAAUAUGUAUAUGUAUAUAUGUAUAUAUAUAUAUGUACGUGUCAUAUUAAAUGAAUGUUAAUCAAACGGUAAACAUGUGCGUAAGCAUAAAUUAUUUGUUAAACCAUUAUGUUCAUAUAUUAUAUUUAUAUACUAUUAAUAUAAACAUUGUGUUUGUAUAUAUUAAUAAAUUUUGUAUAAUUCUCUUUCCCCCCCCGUCC